rnacentral:rRNA from 1 species
AAUGAACGUUGGCGGCGUGGAUUAGGCAUGCAAGUCGCACGAGAACCCAAUUAGCUUGCUAUGAGGGGGACAGUGGCGAAAGGGAGAGUAACGCGUGGUUACGUGCCCUCGAGACCGGGAUAGUGUCGGGAAACUGGCAGUAAUACCGGAUAACAUCUUUGGAUCAAAUGGUGUGAUUCCGCUCGAGGAUCGGACCGCGUACUAUUAGCUUGUUGGCGGGGUAACGGCCCACCAAGGCUGCGAUGGUUACCGGGUGUGAGAGCAUGGCCCGGCUCACUGGGACUGAGACACUGCCCAGACAUCUACGGAUGGCUGCAGUCGAGAAUCUUCGGCAAUGGACGAAAGUCUGACCGAGCGACGCCGCGUGCGGGAUGAAGGCCCUCGGGUUGUAAACCGCUGUCAGUUAGGAGGAAAUGCAUGAGGGUUCGUCUCUCAUGUUUGACCGAUUUUCAGAGGAAGGACGGGCUAAGUUCGUGCCAGCAGCCGCGGUAAAGUG